AUUGAACGCUGGCGGCAGGCCUAACACAUGCAAGUCGAACGAGUGGCGGACGGGUGAGUAAUGUCUGGGAAACUGCCUGAUGGAGGGGGAUAACUACGGGAAACGGUAGCUAAUACCGCAUACCCUCAGCUGUUCACCGAUGGGAUUGUCUUGUUGGUGGGGUAACGGCUCACCAAGGAGACGAUCCCUAGCUGUUCUGAGAGGAUGACCAGCCACACGGGAACUGAGACACGGUCCAGACUCCUACGGUAGGCAUCAGUGGGGAAUAUUGCACAAUGGGCGCAAUCCGGAUACAGCCAUGCCGCGUGUAUGAAGAAGGCCUUCGGGUUGUAAAGUACUUUCAGCGGGGAGGCGUUACCCGCAGAAGAAGCACCGGCUAACUCCGUGCCAGCAGCCGCGGUAAUAC
rnacentral:rRNA from 1 species